GUAUUUUUCAUUUCAUGGUAGCCUAUAUUAGGUCUAUCCACCUUAUUCCUAAUUUAAAAAGAACUAACAGCAACAGAAAAGUCAUGGACAGCCGAGGUCGGACAACUCUAUCAAGAGCUUUGAUUUCAACCACAGUCGAAAUCCAGUGAACGUCACUCUGAUUGGCUGAGGCAACAUAUCAUCAUAACCCAACCUGUAAAGCCAGCCACUCUGAUAGGCCGAGGCAACAUGCGAGCCAUGUGGCGCGAGCGGCGCGAUUCAGCGUGUUUUUCACAUGGUUGGUUUUUCAAGCAGAAAAUAACGGCACAGAUAUUCAGCCUACAUCGCCGUCAUGAUCACUGGUGAACCCAUCUCCUCUAAAUUGAAGGAGUGAGGUGCCCUUCCCUGAUAGGAGAAAAAACACCUAAACAAGGUAUAACCAUAUGGAACUAAUAAAUCCAUGAAGACCGAUCCCGUAGUGAUGCCCCCAGUCCCCCGCCCAGGUCCAGACAUGAUAAAAGAGUACAGCGCAGUGAUCUCAGCACAUGACCGGCACGAUGCAGUGACUGAGACUGGGAGAUGCAGUGACUGAGACUGUGUUCCAGAAAAAUGUCCUGAAACUACUGGUCGACAUCCGCCAUCGCCUGAAGGAAACCAGAAGGGAUCAUGAAAUUUGGUUCCAUAGCCACUGAGGUGUAUGUACAUCAAGGUGAACGUGUGUGAGCACCUCAAGCACGCGUCGCAAAGACUUGGAGGUGGAGGAUUCACUACGCCCCGAUGAGCCUACAGGACUUGAAUUAAGAGUUUUAAAGGGAUAGUUCACUUUAAAAUUAAUUUUUGAUAUGUUUUAGCUUACCUCAAGGGCAUCCAAGAUGUA